UACGUAGGUGGCGAGCGUUACUCGGAAUCACUGGGCAUAAAGGGCGUGUAGGCGGAUGCGUAAGUCCGGUGUAAAAGCCCCCGGCUCAACCGGGGAAGGCCAUUGGAUACUGCGUGUCUUGAGUGCGGGAGGGGAGAGUGGAACUCUUGGUGGAGCGGUGAAAUGCGUAGAUAUCAAGAGGAACGCCGGUGGCGAAAGCGACUCUCUGGCCCGUUACUGACGCUGAGGCGCGAAAGCUAGGGGAGCAAACGGGAUUAGAUACC
rnacentral:rRNA from 1 species